UGUCGUCAUAGCAACCGAGGACGCGAGCCAGAGCAACCCUCGCGGGGCGGCGGCGGAGGGAGGAAGCUACGAAACUCUCUCGUAAUUUCGCAUAAUCCCCAGUACUCACAGCAUGCCAAGAUACUUACUUCCAAAGAACAUGAAGAGCACGAAGAGCACGGGAUAGAAGAAGCUCAAGCAAACAGCCAAGGCAUACUCGUGCACUACAGCAGACACAGCAAAGACAGCUAACAUGGCAGCAGACUUGAACCUCUUAGAGAACAACUAAGGGAAAACAUUAAAAAGUAACAAAAUCAAGGCUUAGAAAGGAGAAGAGAUUUGCCUCCUCAGUGUGUGAAACUGCACUUAAAGGACAGAAUUAGCACUCAAAUACAAUCCCAUUUCUACCAUGAGAUGCUGUCACUUGGUUAGAUGGUGCCAUUUCCUAAUAAAAGCUGUAAUUCAGAGAUACCAGUGUCAACCAAGAAAUUCAAGUCUAAGUACAUUCUGCUCUAAGGAAUAUCCAAAGACGUGUCACUGAUUAGAGAGACAUAAAUCCACAAAAGGUGUUUCUCCACUUUUAACAAAAAAACAAAAACGAAAAAAGGCUAGAGGGAGAUUAUUUGUUGGCAACGAGAUUCAUAAGAAAUGAUCCAUUAUUGGUGGAUCAUUUCCGCUGUUCCCAAGACUUCCAUGCAUUCUUACUUUGUUAUCAUAUAAAAUAAAACCCAGAGCAAACACAUAGUAUUAGACCUAGUACUAUACAUACUGGUUUCUAAGCAACACUAUUUAAAGCAGAAAGGUUCUUAGAUGUAAACGUCCCAUAGGAAAACUGAAAAGAUAUUAUCACCCUUUCUUCAUGAGCAAUUAAAUACAACUUCUUCCAGCUGCAUAAUACUAAUACUUUUUGGAAAAAAAUCUCCAUUUUCUUUCUUCUCUUCUCUCCUUUUCU